GCAGUCCAAAGCUAAGUUUUAGCAGUAAUUGGUAGAUGUAAAAGGGGAGGAAGGCACAGGAAGUGAUGCAAAAGAGUGUCUUUAUUUAAAAAGGAUUUACAACUUCCUGUGGGCACUUUGACUUCUGACUUCUUCCGGAUCCGAGUUCCUGUGGGAGGCUGUUGAAGAAUCUGCUGCCUGGACCUGAGACCUUGUACAAGGUCAGACUGCUCUUGAAUCUCUCCCUUUGUACUGACAUGUGAACAGGAAUUGUGACUCUGAUUAUGAAUGGGGGAAGAGAAGCCAAGAUUUGCUGUUGAGGAGAGACUAGGGAAAAGAAAGUUGGAACUUGUAGAGUCGGAAGCAUAGCUGGAUCAAACUGGAAAGGUAUUUAUAUUUAUUAUAUGAAUUCAAGAUUUGAUGGGAAUAAGCAUCCAGAGAUUAUAUAUUGUAUAUCAAAGAUACAAUACUGCAGCUACUUGGAAGGAGGCUACAGUGAAAUGCACUAAUUAUAAAUAUACCAAUUUAAUUUCCAUAAAUGUGAGAGAAUUGUAAAGGAUGUCAAAACAGAUGAAAUACCCUGUUUGAUUGCUGUGUCUGAUGAAUCAUAAAAAAUUUAAAAAAUGAAAAAAUAAAGCAACUAUAUAAAAGUGGAAUGGGUCAUUUUGGGAAUUUAUGUGGUCAGCCUCUGUAUGGGUCUUCAGGCAAUGUCUGGAUGUUCACUGAUCAGAUUUAUUUCAGAACAAUUAUUGAACUAGAAAGUUUGAAUUAAGGGUCGAGGCAAUUCUCUGACUAUAUUAAUCAUCCAAAAGAUUUUCUUUUUUUUCUUUUCAUUGUAUUUGAGUAAAGAUGGCAUCUAAACCACUCCAUUUUGUUCUGGUGCCUUGUCUAGGUACAAACAAUUUUGAUUGAAUUAGUCAUUCAGAACAAAUUAUGAAUAGUGUCUCCAUACCUCCUUCAGUUAAUCAAAGACAUUGUGAGUCACAGCUUUGUGUAAAAGACAGAAGCUAUCUCACAAUGGGUUGAGGAAAGAGCUGAUUCUGAAUGUCUGGAUUCUAGAAGUUGGAACAAGAAAUGAACAAAGUGGGGAUAGUGAUGUGGCAGAAAUAGGAGACAGCAAAGAGAGCCAUUGACUCUAAAAAGAGAUAAUAUAUCUAUUCUCUACUCCAAAAUAUGGACUACAGAAACCGGGGGAUCCCCAAGAUCCUUUCUUGAAGUAUAUAUGAUCAAAAUGCAAUGUACUAAGAUAUUUACAUUUUUAAAUACAGUAUAUAUAAAUAGAUAGAACUCACACCAACUGAAGAUCUAUGGGGUCCUUAACAAAUUUUAAGAAUUCAAACUGCUACUAAAAUAAAAAAAAAAUUGAGACCUGCUGCUUUAUAGGCAUCUUGAAAUUUAAAAAAAUUCAGGAUGAAAGAAGUUUUAAGAAAAGUUUGAAGAAGAAAACAUUCAUUGUCUCCUAUGUGCCAAGUAUUGUGCUAAUAGCUUUUUUAGAUUUUAUUUCAUUUGAUCCCACAAAUUUGUGGGAUAAGCACUUUAAUUUUUCUCAUUUUACAUAUGAAGGAGCUGGUUAAUCAGAGGUUAAGUGACUUACCCAGAGCAACACAUCUAGUAAAUGCCUGAAACCAGAUUUGAACUAACAGGAUUUUCUUGAAUUCAGACCCUGCUUUUUAUCUAUUGAGUCACUUACCUAUCUCUUUCAACUCCUUCCCCAGCUUCUUCUCACAUUUCCUAUCUAUAGAAAAUAGUUUAUUUGCCAUUCCCUAACCUGAAUUUUCCCCCAACUACAAAGUGAAGUUCAUUAGAGUCAGAUAUCAAAUGAUGGACAGUCUAUCCUCUGCACAAGUGUAUUGGGACUUUUCCUAAGCAGUGACUUUAAUUAAUCUUGAUUUUUUAAAAACUUUUUUAUCCAAAAAAUAUCCUUAAAGGCAAAGAAGAGAAAAUUAGUAGGUUGAAAUCUAUUUUAUUUAUCAUAAUAUUUAAAAUAUUUAAUAUUAUUGUAGUAGGGGACUAUGCUUGGAUACAACUGCCAUCUACCUAUAUAUAUAUAUAUACAUAUAUAUAUAUACACACACAUACACAUAUGUGUAUGUGUAUGUAUAUUUGUAUAAAUGCAUAUAUGCCUAUGGAUAUUUGUGACCAAAAUUCUUUUUCUUAAAUUUUAAACAUUUAAUCUCCUAAAAGCCAAGAAUUUAUGUAAAAAUUAACUUUUGUUAAUUGUUCAGUGCAUUACCACUGAAUAGCAGCUGUAAUGAGUCAAAUGUUUCUAGUUUUUAACCUCUGCUCAAUAAGUAAGGUAAGGAACUUGCAUACACAUAUAA